rnacentral:misc_RNA from 1 species
UCACCAAAAAUCGUGAAAAAAAAACAUUUCACGGAUCUGGGUUUUUCAAAAGUUUUGAAUUUUGGUGACCUAAAAUUUAUCUUAACAAUAUUUAGGUAUGAUAUUGGAAAUGUUCUAUCUUACAUGUUUUUGUAAGUUCAUUAACAAUUAUUACCAAUUGUUACGUCGUGUUAUUCAUCUAGUAUUUUUUAAUUAGGUGAAAUAAUUCAAUCUAUUUUAA